UGGCUGCCUUGGAAGGCUCUGCAAGGGUAAAGUAGCGUGGCCUGAAUGCAAUUUGUCCGUCAGGCCUCAACCCAUCACUACUGAACAGGGUUCGUGAUAAUGGCAUUCCUUGGCUUUGAAUUUCAGGAGACUAUGAAGAAACAUAUGAAGAUGUUGAGACUGUGGGUGGGAAUCCAGCUAAAGUGGAGGCAGAAAAGCAAAAGAGGUUUGGAAACAUGUUGAAGAUGGAAAAAUUUAAACUGAAGAACACCAGGUUCAAGGAAAAUUUAAGAUUGCUUUCCAGCUCGGUACCAAAUUUAGCCACCGUCUCGCAGGAGGACACGUACGAC